AAGCUUUCUAGGUCUUCUCUUAUUCACUCUAAUGGCUUAUAUUCUCCUCAUAUUUGCCCAACUUUGUUUGCUUUGAAUUUAGAAGGCGGGGAGCCCUCGAGCAAGGACAAGGCAGUGGAGGAAGCUUAACGAUUUGCUCUUCAUUGUUUGGAGGUCCCCAUGGCUAGUUUGUAGAGGUAGUGUGGUUGACCAUUAUAUUACAUGUACAAAGAGGCGCGUAGAGAACCUGAAUGGGACCAAACUUGACUAAGACCCUCGGAGUUACCACAUGAGAUCGACUCCCAGAGGCCAACGCCAAGGAGGGCUACCUAGUUUUAUUCUAAAUAAUAAAGUAACAAGGGGGAACAUUCUUUGCGGCUAGCCUAAAAGUUUUCAUGAGUUUUACAUGAUGAUGUUAUAAAUCUACCGUUUAUAUGCGAAUUAUGUGGGGAUAUGUUUUUAUAAAUUUUGUUCUUUAUGGUUUCAUUUAUGUCCUUGUUGAACUAUGUGCCUUGUCCACUCACUGAAUAAUCAUAUUACUCAUCA